rnacentral:rRNA from 1 species
GGAAUAUUGGACAAUGGGCGAAAGCCUGAUCCAGCAAUACCGAGUGAGUGAUGAAGGCCUUAGGGUUGUAAAGCUCUUUUAGCAAGGAAGAUAAUGACGGUACCUAGUAAAGAAGCCCCGGCUAACUUCGUGCCAGCAGCCGCGGUAAUACGAAGGGGGCUAGCGUUGUUCGGAAUUACUGGGCGUAAAGAGUACGUAGGCGGCUUAUCAAGUUGGGUGUGAAAGCCCAGGGCUCAACCCUGGAACUGCACUCAAAACUGGUAAGCUAGAGAUCGGAAGAGGUAAGUGGAAUUCCCGGUGUAGCGGUGAAAUGCGUAGAGAUCGGGAGGAACAUCAGUGGCGAAGGCGGCUAUCUGGACCAGCACUGACGCUGAGGCACGAAAGCGUGGGGAGCAAACAG